UCAUAUCUGUGCACUAAAGAGCUCUAGUGACAUCUAGUGUGUACAACUAAAUGCAAAGUUUCAACGAAUUAUAACAUUAAGAUCCUUCCCUGAUGUUCAAAGAGUAUUUCUACAUCACGGACCCUGGUACUAAUUGGCAGAAUUAAUCUCGUCUAGGGUUUCUUGUGGCCCUUUGCUUUACCCUGGAGCCAUCUUGAUAGCAGCAUGUUCUCCCUGUCAAUAUACAACAAAUGGAACCUUCUUAUUAAACUCAGAUAGUGCAUUGCUAACACUUAUAACCCCGAUAAUAAUAAAGGUAAAUACACCCAAAAUAUUAUAAGGAAAACAAUAUCCUAGCCCACUCCACAGAAGUAUUCGUUUUUAAUAUUCAAACCGAAAAUUUUCAAGUGCACGAAUUGCAACAACAGAACUAGCAUUAGAGACUCUAAAAUGAUGACGGAAGUCAACAAGUUGUCCCCAGCCAACAGACAUCACCUAAAUCAGGAAAUAAUUUUUUACCUCUUGGGAACAUAAGAAUUGAACACCUGCAUUAUAUGUGAGGGCAGAUGGACAUGGACGUGUAAAGCUGUAGAGAUUUAAAUGAGGAAGAAAAUUAUGAUUGCAAUUGAAGGGUUUAAAUCCAAAUUUGAGAUUAGAGAUUUUGAAUGUCAUUCUCAAGCAUAUUUAUCCAUUCAGACAGAAGGAUCAUUGAAUUCAGUAGUAACACAAGGCAAGUGAAACAGUGAUAAAGUAUAAUUGGUAUUAAAUGAACAAAUCCAGUAUCAGAUUUCUAAGUACAAGAACAUAAUUACUCUAUAAUUGAAUCAAACAGAUAAAGACCAAGAGCUUCAUGAUCCUUCAAUAGCAACCACACCCCUGUUUCCUCAUUGUCCAUAAUCCUUCAAUUUGAUGUUUCUCUUGCAAGCUCUCGUGCUUCUUCUCUUGACCAUCUUCUCAGGAUCAUCCACCAUGUGGACAACCUGCAUAAUCAACUUUCGAACAUUUUGAUUUAAUUCUUCUCCCUCUCAGGUUCCUUCUUGAUACUUAACUAAUACUUAACUGAUAUCUCUAAGUCAAAAGAAUGACACAAACGCCAAUGACAUGACCCAAAAGAAAAAUAAUAAGAAGGAUAUUAGUUUACCAGAUUUCAUGUUGACGACACAAUUGGCGAACAAGCAUUCGAGGUCUGAUUGACGAUUGUUGUACUCGAGGUUGCCAACGAAAACCGGUCUCGUCUUCAAAGGAAAAAAUUAGAGCAACGAUGAAUCAAUGCCCUAACCCUAACAACUCAAGAUUCUUGCUCUAUAAAGCAAACAAUAACAAAUUCUUGCUUGCUUCAAAAGAAAAGCUUAGAUUCUAAGUCAAUGGCUCUGUAUAGUAGAAUCGGAAACUACUUGUUUUUAAAACUUGAAAUGUGGUAUCACUCGUUCGAGAAGAAAUGAAAC
rnacentral:lncRNA from 1 species